UUUUUUUUAUUAAAAUAUUUACUGGUAUAGCCUCUUUUGAGAAAGUAACGUUAGAGAUUUUUUUUUAUUUGAAGCUCCGUUUUUGUUUAGUAAACUAUAAUUUGUGUUUUCCACGUUUUUCCCAUUCUGUUUGCUGUCCUUCAUUUUUGGGAAAUCAACAGCUCAAGUAGAUAAUUGUUUAAAUAGAAAACAUACUUUUUCAACCAACGUUCAAUGAUUAUUCUAUUUGAACUACACCCCUUCCGUAGUAUCACAUUUAAGCGAUACAUUAGUUGAAAACUGGUUCAAGAUGCAUUUUUAUGGGUAUACAUUGAAUGAAUUAUACAAAG
rnacentral:lncRNA from 1 species